ACAAUGACAUUGAAAAAGUCCGGGAACUUGUGUCGACAUAGGUUUAACAUGAAUAUAGCAAAAAAUCCAGAAACUCAUAUAUCAAUUUAAUACACUCACAUUGAAUGAGAAUGAAAUACGGAAAUCUGUCAUCAGUUCAUCAAAACAUAGUUCCAAAACAUCGUCAUACAUUAGAGAUGAAGUGUUAGUAAAAAUGGAAAAAUAUGUAGUGUUUUGGAUUGAGGAUUUAUUGCAAACGAUAAUACCUACGAUGCUUAAAGCAGAAGUCACUACGAAUCUAUAAGCAACUGCAAAUAUCGGAGCCCUCAAGAAGUCGUCAAGAUAAGAGAAAGAAAUUUUCUGCCAGUGAUGGAUGGCUAACAGUAUUUCUUAAAAGGAACGCAUUUCAUAAUUUAAAAAUUAAAGAAGAAAUCGCAUCAACAGAUGAGAAGGCAGCGAAAACCUUUACAGCAGAACUAGCCAAAAUAAUUGAAGAUGGGGCCAUGUCCCCGCUCAAAUAUUCAAUGCCGAUGAAACGGGUUUGUUCUGAAAAAAAAUGCCUUCCAGAACUUUUGUACCAAAACCCGACAAAAAUGCUAGUGGUUUUAAAGUGGUAAAGCAACGUUUCUGGUGACAAAAUUUUAAAGCCCAUUUUAAUUAACCAAACAUUAAGGCCGCGUGCUUCGAGAGGAAAAAACAUUGAAGAGUUGCCGGUUCAUUGGAGGGCGAAUAAAAAGGCCUCGAUGACAGCAGGUCUAUUUGCGGAAUGAUAAUGCACCAAGUCAUCUUUCUUGAUUCAACAAUUAGACCAGGAUGCAGUAGAGAAGGACAAACUUACGAUCGUUGAUGCAUGGAAAAAAUAUUCUGUUUUGCAUUGCAUUACAUAAGCUUCAAUGGCCAAGGAAAAGUUAAGGGUAUCAUCAUUAAAUUCCUGCUGGAAAGCACUUUGGCCAGAAUGCGUCAAGAGUGGUACCUCAGUGCCCCAACCACCGAUGGAGACUUCUGAAAUUAUAGCCUUGGCACAUGAAAUCGAAGGAGAAGGGUUUGAGGACCUACAAAUGGAAGAUGUCGACGAAUUAAUGAUAGAUAAACCGCUAGAAGAUGAUUAUCUGAUUGAGUUAAAAACAGAUGACGGCAAAACUGAGAACCAUAAUAGCGAUAUCAGCGCGGUGACCGAAAUAUGUCAACUAACUGCUAGUUUAAUUGAUUAGACCGUCUAACAUUUGGUAAAAGUAUGGUGAAUCAUUUCUUAAAAAAACGUGCGCUGAAACUGAAACUUAAAAAACCAAAAGUUCAACUACCUAUUAAUUUAAUUUUAAUUUUUGAUAAAAAAAUCGACUACGCAAGACCUUUCGGAAAGUAGUCCGUCAGUUCAAAACUCAAAACUCUAUUACCGGGCGAAAGUGACCAUUGGAUAAUUUGAUGGAUAUCUCCAGUGAGUGAUGAUACCGACUUUAGUCUAGUUCGUCGCAAACAAUUACGCUUGUUAUCAAGU